CUCUGAGGCUCUUGCUACCUAGGGGAGAGCCUUUUUAGGAUUGUGGAGCACUGGCUCUGAUACUCAUCUUAGAGCAAGUUCCCAUCAAGCCUCCUGACAUCAUUGGGUAUGAUUGCUGACACCUGUUUGGUAAAUAAAAUUACAUCAGAUCUUUUCAGCACCAGGCUGUUAAAAGAGAGCUCUAGCGCAGAUGUAACCUCCAGUAUGAAUAGGAGAAUUCAUUAGGCAUCAAGGCCUUUAAACUCAUCAGGGUUAAACAGCAAUUUACCUCACACCAUAACUGUUAGCAAGUGAUUUAGUGACAAGGAAUUGACGAGAGGCUCGUUGAAUUGAGUAAUAGUGGGAGGCCAUCCUGGGGCAAGAGCCAUGUUCCUGCAGACACCUUCCAAAGGGACCAAGGUUAGUUCAAGAAGAAAGUUUGAAGGCCUUGUCUACUAGAUGGCACAUGUGCAUAGCUUUCUUCACUUUGCCGUCCCUCUACGAGAUUUCAUCACGCUUGCCUAGAACGUAAUCUGCAACACCCACCACGGAGCUGGUCCCAAGGCAAAGAGGCAGUGGCUCACCACGUGCCAUCCUUUCUCUUAAGAUCCCAUCUCCUUCUGCGUGGCCCCAGUUGCGGGGCCAGCAGGAUGGGUUCCCCACUGCGCCGUGUUGGUUGGACGUAAUCGCUGUAACGCCACUGAGCAACACGUGGCGAACAGCUUUAUCACCAAGGGCAGCCAGCAAGCCGGGAUGGAUGAAUGGGAAGCAGCUUCCAGCAGGAAUGCUCCUCCGUAUUUUAAAUGAGAAACAGAAGAACAUGGAGAUUUUGCAAUUUGAGCUGAGGCAGGCAGGAGCUCUGGCAGAAGAAGAGGCCUCCCGAGGGGCUUGGAGGUGAACAGCAGAUCCACCAAGGACAGUGUGCAGGAAUCAGAGUGAUGUUCUCUCUCAUGGGAAGAGGAAGCCAUACAACAACUAUACCAGGGCAGAGCCCUCCGUGGGAGACAACAGCCUGUAAACUGCUGGGACUACCAGAGAACACCACAAACACCAUAAACCACCGGAAGGAGCCCGCCAGCUGCAGAAAGGCAGCAAGAGGAUCAAAAGAGCAACAUCCCAGGCAUUCCUGAUGUCCUGAAGAUUUUCAGCAAGAUUUGUGGAGGAACAGAGCAAGAAAAGCUAGCCAGAAGACAUUGCUUCCUGUGCACAUCAGACAAGGCAGAGUCUGUGCCCUCCCUGCAUAUGCAUGAAGCCCACAUCGCCUUUCAGGACUUUGUGCAGAAGUCCAAGAAGCACAAAGCUGCAAAGAAAUGCUGCCGCCUACAUGCUGCCCCAGUUUCCCCAGGCAAAGGGUGAUGAUCUGGUGAAGCCACUGAAUCCGUGCCAGCAGGGAUUUGGAUCCAGAAGCAGGCAAGAGCAUCAGAGCAGCUGUGCUGCUCUGGAUCAAAGCCCACCAUCCGAUGGCCCGUCACUGGCAGCUGGUGGAAGCAAGUGCCCAGGGAGGAGAACAAAAAGCAGGAUCUUUCCUCAGAGCCAAAAGGCUGUAACCAGAUAACCAACACAUUUGUUCCCUGUCUCCAUGGCUCAGCAAAGCAUUAGGAGAUCCUCUGAGGAGCACUAUAAAUGCUGAAACCAGAUUCAGAAUGAAGGUCUACCUGCUCUCAGAGACAGUCUUGCAGCUGCUUUGUCCAGCCACGAGCAAGCUGCACCCUGGAAGCCACAGAGAUGAGAGAUGGGGCCGCUCACACCAGUGGAGCAGGAGGGGAAGAAAAUGCUUCUGUGGGUGAAGCUCGGCCCAGUCCUGUUGGCAUCAAGCGGACGUGUUUGUUAUAGCUGGCAGAGAGGUCCCAGCUUCAGACAGCCGUCUGCCAUCCGCUUUGGCCAGACACCGAGACGCUAGCAAUUGGCUGGCGUUACUGUCAUGAGCAAAGGUAUGGCACUGUGAGUUGUCUGAGCCUUGUCAGGCUUUUCCCGCAGUGAUUCUGCAUGGUGUGAAAGAGGUUGGGAAUCGGAGAAUGGCUCUCUGGCUGAUCGGCCUGCUGCCAGAGGAGGAUUUGUCCAUGAUAGUCUCACUUGCUUUCGGGGUGUGGCCUGAAAGGGAAGGUUUGAGACAAUAUUUGUUGGGGUUUUUCCACUCUUUGUUGUGAAACCUUUGGUUUUCUCAUGCCUUGAUUUUUGGAGUAUGUGCCUUAAAAAACAAUAUGACAAAUGCCUAGCUCCAGGUAACGCUUUGCACCUAGAAAGAAUGCUGGGUUUUCUGGACUCAAAUGAUGGGGAGGCUGUGAUGCCGUUUGCCCAAUGUCAGGCAGCAGUCUGAAAGCAGGGCUCGGAGCAGAAGCUGACUGUCAAAUCCCUGCCCCUUCCAUGGGCUCCACCAUCCCUUCCAUCAUUUUCUAGUUUUGUUUCUCCUUGCUUUCCUCAAGAAAAAUGAAAGGAGAAAAUUAAAUAGAGAUUACGAGCUCCAGCAUCUGUGUUAGGGGAAUCUGUAGCCAAAUGAAAGGUGACCACACUAGGUCCAGUACUGGCUGUUGAUUCUUAAGGACCUCUUACUGCAGAGUGAACUGCUUCAGAAAUCAGCCUGAGGGCUGAUAACCCACAGCUCGGAGUGAGAACAAGGGUCACCACUCUUGAUCUGAGAUUUAAUCAGUUGGGUUUCAGUUAUCAAAAAACAAAGCUCAUAAAAGAAGCCUGACGUUUUUAUAUCUUGCACUACUCCAGUGAAAGCUGCGCUCAAGAUCAGGGAAGACAGAAAUUAUACAUGGGAAUGAGAUCUCAGUGAUACCCUUUUUGAAGCCUCUGGAUGAUCAUAUAACGCACAAACCAAAGCCCUGAGUGGUUUAUUUUGAUGUGUGGAUCCAUGCCGUUACCAGUGAAAUGAAGUCCGUGCAUCCUGCCCGGCGGCAUGUUUGUGCAAUCGGUGUGAAGGGGCUGAUCUAGCAAGCCUUGCAUGAGAAUUUUUCUUUCCCAUACGUGCUCUCAGGAGGUGUUAAUGCUGUGCUGAGGAGCUCUGCUCAUGGACUAGGACUAUGGUGUGAAAUGUGAUACUGUCACGUCGUGGAGAAAAUGCUGUCACCCCCAUCGUCAGGAUGGAUAUGUCUGCUAUAGGCAAACUCAUGAUUGUUAGGGCUUCCAGACAGCUAGCGGGGGGCAGCAGCAGCUCCCUGGGACGCCUCAGCCCCAGCAGCCUGGCCCAGCACACAAUGAGCCUCAUGCUCGUGACAAUAUCUGAACUUUUCUAAGUUAAAGCCAGCAGAAGUGGCUUUCCAUUCAGACCUUCAGUUUCCAUGUUGACGUGCCAUUAUGCCAUGAGGCAGCCCAGGAAGAAUACUUGGGCGUGCUAGGCAGUGGGGUGUAGUUCAUGUGGCUCAUGCACUGUUACUGCAGUGGAGAUGUCACGAGUCAGUGUCUGCAGCUACCAAGGGCCAAACUGAAAGCUCCUCAUUAGUCAGAAGCAAAACGGGGUGAAAUGGGCUUUGCCCACGUUAAUAAACUUUGUGUUUUAAACCACCACUUCCCGUCCAGUCAGCAAAACCCAACCCCUGCUGUUAGAAAUUACUGCUCUGAUUCUGGGUGGGUUCACAGUCCUGCUCCCUCUCACAGGCCGGGCUGGCACCUUUCACCUCUGGAGAAGGUUUGGACAACAGGCAUCCAGCUGAAACCCCAUGUCCCAGCUAGAAGCAAAACACGCCUUUAAAUCAGCUAUGGGGCACAUUUCCCAAAUGCUCUGCUAUCUCCGGUCCCCUCUACUUUGUCUGUGAAACUAUUACUUUGCAUAAUAGAAGGGAGAGACGCUCUGACCAUCUGGUAGGCAACGCCAUGUAUAAUUUAGGUUGCUUCACUCACUCUCCCAUCAACAACAGGAAAGUAGAUUCCUUCUGGUUUCCCUUGAUCUCUUAGCCCUUUGCUACAAAUGCAAGGUCCCAAGCAGCUGCGGGGGAGUAAACUGCAUCCUGCACUGGGCCACGGCGUUUUGAGGGAUGCCUCUGCUUGUGGGUGGGACCCCAUCACAGCCAGGUUGUUUCCUGAUUCUGCGUGAGCAAAGGGAUCAUGAACUCAGUAAAUCCCCGCCAGGAAAGGACAGCUGGUAUCAAUGGAUCUGCAAAUUCCCCUUUCCCCUCCCAGGGGUUCUCCAGGAUGGGGAUAGCAUCUUCAGGGCUCUGGGGAAACACUGCCAUCCCCAAGGAGCCCCUCACCGCAGGGACCGAGCCACCUGCUUGUCCCAUUGGCGGUCUUCUCAGGCAGAGCAGCUGCCAGGAAACCUGCAGCAGGGAAACCACCAUUCGCUGCUAUUCCUCUAUGUCAAUUAUUUGGGCCUAUCCGGGCCUGCGCACUUGUUUUUCCACUCCUGGUGAGCACGGUGAGGUGGUUAAGGCCCUGAUGCUGAAGUUUAUGGCUUAAAUCAGUGGGAUUAUUCAUGAGGUCAGAGAUAACCGUGUGCUUUUAUACCUGGCUAGAACGGCGUCUCAAGCUGACGGCUGGGAGUCAAAAGCUCUGAGUCAUCGGGUCCCUCCUCGCCUUCCUGUGUGACCAGUCUGCCCGUGUCUGCUUCCUUGCCUGCCGCAGAAGGAGGAUGGCAGUCGCUUUUAUCUGAUGGUUACUUUCAAAUGGCCCUAGAGGCCUCUUCUGGUCUGAUGAAAAUUCAGUAGAAGCUGGACUAGCGUGGAAAAGACAGCAGGACAUUUAACUAAUGAACGCGCUGGAGCUCAGGAAAGCAAUUACAUCUUUUCUUCCUCCUCCCCACAUUCCCACACGGGUUACUCAGAGAUUGCUGCAGAAUUUUCUCUGAGCAAAGAGAAGUGGAAGGCCAUGAAAAAGCUGAGAUGGGUCCCUCGGAGCUGAAGGAAACCUCAUGUGGGAUGGUGGUUUGGGUGCCCCGUACGGCAGAUUGCUACGCUAGCAGAUUCCCAGCAGUAGUUACACCUUAAAAGAGGCCCCGCUCAAUUAAAACCCGUGACCUUGAUUCUGCAAACCUCUUCUUUACAUACAUAGCUCGUAAAACAAAAAGAUGCAGAAAAACAAGAGAGGGAGAAAGAGGCAAAAAAGAGGGCCACUCGCAUAUAUUUUAUGUCCCACUACACAACAGUUCCCCAGGGAAGUGUGCGAGAGGACUUCUGCAUUUGGCUUGCACACCUCUGCUUGGGUAGUGCGAAAACCUGCGUGCAGUGCUGUGUACAGCUGCCGUAGCCAUAAUAUGCAGGGCUGAAACCCUGGAGAGGAGCUGUGGGCGUCCUCCCAGCUGCCCCAUGCUUUUGCAGACAUUUGUAAAUACAAUUGCUCUCACUUUCCAUUGAUAGAAAUCAAAAGGCAAUUAAGAAUCAAGCUCUUUAAAUUGAUAAGUCUCUUGAAUUUGAAACAUUUUUCAUUCUUUGGCUGGUAUCGCUGCCUAGAUUAGAUUAUUUUUUUAAAGGCAAGAUUAAAAUAAACAGUAUUUGUGGUUUAAUUAUUUGAAUGACUAAGAAGCUCCAGCUUUAUUUUAACUUCACAGAGGACUGGGAGAUGUUUUUAAUGAUAUGUUUGACUCGCAUAGAAUCUUUCAUCCAGGGAUCUCAAACUGCUUUUCAAAUAAUUAAUUAAUCCUUGUACCUUUCCAUGAGACAGUUUUAUCUCUGACAUUACUGAUGGGUAAACAAAGGCACAAAGACGUCAAGGCACAAACUGCUUUCCAAAUAUUAAUUAAUUAAUCCUCACACCACUCUGUGAGACUGUUACUGUCUUUGGUGUUACCAAUGGGUAAACUAAGGCACAAAUAUGCAAGCAACUCGCCUGAGGCCGUGCAGGUGAGUCAGUAGCAGAGCUGAGAAUAGCAUAUGACCGGUCGAAGCCUUGGCUAAUUGUUUCUAGCAAGUGCUACGCCGUGCUUCUGACAACAGACCCUGCAAGCCCCUGCGUGAAGCACAGCUGAAACCAACUGCGUUUCUGAAAAUAUCCCUCCUUUCUGUCUCCUCCCACUGGAGGCUGCCUUUGCCCACGGUUGCCUGCAGCUCCUUUUCAGCUCGUAAUGACCAGUGGAAGCCCACGUUGCUGUGAUGACAAGCGGUUGUUGGGAAGUACCUGGGGAGUUUUGAGCUCCUCCAGUGAUGGGGGCUGUGCAAACGCUUUGCCCUGUGGCUGGGGGCCCCAGGAGAGCAGCACGCAGGUUUGCUGGUGUUUGCCCCUGUACCGGCCCCGUGUGGCACCCUGGGGCCAGGGAUGCCCCAGGCUCGGCCACGGCCCCUCAGCAGCCAAGAACACCUUGCGUCCUGGCACGGGCUGUCAGCUCGGGCUUCAGCAGGUAUUUAGCCCACGGAGCAAGAGCUCUGUGUCCUCUCCAUGAGGAAGAGGAAAAGCACUCUCUGCCCUCAGGAAAGGGCUCUCCUUCCCAUCCAGCCGCAGCAAUUUUCCAUGCAGGCACCUGAACCCUCACCAUGCUCGCAUCCCAGCUGAGCUAUUUCAAACAUGGGCUUGGCCUCAUCAAAUGCCGUCUCAUUUCCACAUGAAAGCGCUGGAGGAAUACGAAGCCAGCUCAUCUGUAUUGAUAAGAAUUUGGCAUUACUUUCCCCCAGUUAUCUAAGCUUUCUGUGUACAUUAAUCACAAUGCACAAACCAGGAGCUGGGGGGAUGCAUCUUCCCAGCUGGCUUUCCCUGGGCUCGGGCAGUAAUCCGCCUCUGUUUCUUUUUGCGUGUGUUUUUGUUGUUGUUGUUUUUUUCUAAACUUCCUUUUUCCAGUUCCACUCCGCUGGAGCCUGAUUGCUCCCUCCCCUCUGCAAUUUGGAUGCCUCAUUCUUCUUGCUCCAGCUCUGAUGCAAGCGCUGCGCUGCCGUGCUUGCCAAACCUGGCAUGAGUACCCACUGCUAGUCUAGACACCAGUCUAACUGUAGCGCUAAUGCUAGGGUUUAACAGACUGAUCUCGGCAUUUGUCAUAGCUCUGCCCACGGUCAUCGCUUUGAUCUUUAUCCUUGAAAACCACAGCCAUUGACAAAGGUAAAAUGAAUUUCUGUCUUUGAAAGACUUUGAUGGCAUUCCCGUGUUUUGUUUCUUUUUUUUUUUUUCUUUUUUUUUCUUCUCUUAUUUGCUCUUCCAGCUGAACUUCAUCAUAACACUUUUGAUUACAGCUGCAACUCCAGGACUGGCUACAGUUGUUCUUUCUUUCUUUCUUUCUGCUGUACAGCCAUUUAAAAAUCUAAGGGGGAAAUCCUGGGACACUUCUGAGACAAACUGCCAGUGAGUGUAAUGUAAACUUUAAUGGGAGUCAGCGACUGAGGGCCCUCAGGAUUUGUCAUCUUGAAUAGGGCCAAGUGCCAAAAGCAGGAGAGAAGGAGAACUAUUUGAUAUUAGAUUUCUAGUUCGAAAUCUGCACUCUGCCAAGUACUAUUAUUUGCCUCCAUGUAGUACCUAGAGGUUGAGCUGAGACAAGGGCCUUCUAUUAGACGUUGUAUAGACACGUUGUAAGAGAUUGCCUCUGCCUGGAGGUGUUUAUAAUUUAAAUAAACAUGAUGAGCAAAUCGAGUGUUACUAGCUCCAUCUUCUAGAUGGGGAAGUGAAGGAAAGGAGCGUACAUACCUCGUCCAAGGUCACACAGGGGACCUGAAUUCAUUGGAGAGCUCCAGGUAUGACAGCUGGUGAUAAUGUCCCCUUUGCCAAUGAGCCCUUUGGCUCCAGAAGCAAUGGCUGGGCUCUCACCAUGCAGCUAGAGGUGCCUCUCGUUCGUAAGGAUUUAUGACACUUUUCCCUGCUUGGAGUUGCAGGAUUUGGCUCACUGCGGGGGAAUGCUACACAAACUUCCCAGCAGCUCAGCCACCACUAGAGAAAAAGCUGCUUCUGAGCCAAUUUUUUAUUUUUUUUUGUAAUGCUGUAAAAGCCAAUUGUGAGAUGCCUCAUCCCUUUGAAUUUACUGUAGGAAACAAGCUACGUGAGGAACCUUCAGCAAGGUACUUCCACCAACCUUCAUGUAGGAGCAGUGAUGAACUUCAGUGAAGCCAGACGAGGUGGUCCUUCCAUGGGGCCUGAGAUAAGAGCAGGAGUUCACAGAGCUUGGGUUUAAUAUCAUGCACAAUGUAAAAGUAAAUAAAUUCAAUAGGGAAGGCUUUGAUUACAGGAUAUACACAGCGCGUUAUUUGCACAUCUGUAAAAAUCUUCCAAGGGCUGUGAGUGAAAUCCAGGUUUGUUGAAGUCAAUGGGAUUUUUGCCACAGACAGCUGUGGGGCCAAGUUCCCCCUAAACACUUGCACAUCCUUUCCCUGUUUUCUAGCACACAGGUGAUGCCAAUGGGACUCAGCAGCUGCUGGAGAGGAGGGCAGUGAAUUAUAGCAGCACGGGGAGGAGAACUCCAGAGGAGUGAGUGAUGCUAGCAACUAUGAAAGUCCUGACAGUGGUAUCACACAGCCCAUCCAGAACAGCCUUCAGGGUAGCCAGUCCAUAGCUAGGAGAAGUUGUUUAUCAAAAAUGGGUUUUGUUCAACACACAGAUAAAUCUGCCUUCAAAACUGGAGCUGGAAGUUUUCCUGUUCUCAUAUACAUGUAUAAAUAUCACAUAAACACAUACACAUAGCUGGCAAAUAAAAAUGUUGUAUGUAGGUAUAGUGUGUACGUUUUAGAUAGCAAAAUGCAUAUAUUUUAUGCAUAUAGUCAUGUAGCUAUAUAUUCCCAACAUCCAUAAAAACGUAUUUUCCUGUUUUUUCCAGCCACUUCACCAACUGAUUCACAGAUGCCAAAUGUUGACACAAUAUGUUAAAGAGCAAUGUUGACAGUUUUCCAUGGACAGUUUUCUGUAGUCUCGGAGAAGCUCUACUCUACAUUUCUUCUGAGAUUCAAAGGAAUUUGAUUAACAUUUUGCUGUUGCCCAUUUCUGACUAUCCUGAUUUCAGCUGGGACUGGAGGAGCACUUGAUGAGUAUGUCUCUUUUGUUAUUUACAGCCUUGUCAAAACGAUGAAGUAGCAGGAAUCUCCUCAGAGAGCAAUGUAUCACAGCAUUUUUCAAGAUGAUUUCCAAAUCAAAGAUGACUUCCAAGGAGCAGCAAGGGUGUAAUCCUGGAGCCAAUCAAGCCAAUGGCAAAAAUCCCACUUUUUGCAUGAUAUUCUUAAUGAAGCCUCUGAAAUUUUGGAGUUUCAUAUAUUAUGGCUAAAAGAUCCUGUCCAAACUCAGCAUCUGUGAGCCUUACAGAGGCAUGACCCCAAAAAGAAGUGAUGAAAAAUGUCCAUUUUAAAAACAAAUAUCCCUGUUUAUAAUGAGACCAGGGGGAAAAUGGAGAAUUCAGUACUUAAUACUGACACCUGCCACUUGCAAAAUCUCUGCACUGCUAGAAACAAAUAUUAGUGAGAGUUUGGAAACUUUCAGUCACUCAUUUUUUCCUCCUUCACUUCCAUUUUGGUAUGCCUUCACUUCCAUCUGGUACGCCUGCCCAAUAACAUCAUGGACAUUGCUGAAAUGUCAUGAUGAACUUUGUUCGUGUACUAGUUCCAGGUGAGAUGGCCUUGGGAGUAGCUAUAAUUCUUAACAAAACAAAAGAAGUAUUUGCCAAUGUUUCUGGAUAUAGUUGUUAUUUCCCAGGCACAGAGACUCGUCAGAGCACCCAUAAAUAUCACUGUCAUUGAAAUCUGAUUUCCAAGUUCUUUCCUGCAAAUGCCCACCGGCUGUGAAAACCCAGCCGAGUUUUGGCUGCUGGGUUAUAAACUCCUUCUGGGCUGUGCUUGGUGUCUGGCACAGCAGCCAGGGGUCUCUGCCAGUGCAAUGGGGUGCUACAAGCGUCAUAAAUGGCCAGGUUGAUUUUUGCUCUUCCUUGAGCAACUGAAAGAAACUGGGCUAGAUAGAGUCCUGGUCCCAACAAAUACAGAAGUUCUGACAUUGUCAUAUAAGGAAAAUCCAGUUUCUUAGAGAAAACCUCAGACAAAAUAGCCAUCCCAAGAUAUUUGUUGAUUUAUGCUAUAUAGAUGCAAACAAAACCAAUGUACCUUACAAUAAAUGGGUUACUGAGCGUUACCAGAACAUUUCCAUAUCUGAUUUCUAGCUGGUAGGCUUGGUGUUUUUUUUCUGUUGGUGCACAUCGGUGAAUGAGAACUUAUUUUCCAAUUGAAUGAAAAAUUUUGCCUCCAACAAUAUUCAGAAACCAUUGAAAGGUUUAGAGCUCUCAAUAGGAAAAAGCUAAGAACAGCAGUUCAAUUAUUUUCUGAGAGAUUUCUUCAGUAUUGCACUCCCCCAUCACCUCAAAGCUACAGAGAAGUAACAUAUUAACCGAAAUAACAAAAUUAAUCCAUGUCAUCAGCAGUUUUCAUGGGGGAGAGGAGUAGUCCCUGGUUAUUUUCCCCGUUUACUACUUACACUUAAAUCUGGUUUUAAUCCAGCUCUGACCUCCGUCAGUGGCUGCUCUGCAGCAUCCCGAAGCCACACGGGGCUGGACUCGGAGCUGAACUCAGACUCCAAGCAGGCCAUUGCAACUCAACGCCGUGUAUUAAUGACAGUAAUAGCAAUAUCCUUAGAGCCUACUGGAACCUACUGAAAGCCAAAAUUAGCUCAGCUGAGCUGGAAAGGCCUCCACCGAUCCUCUUAGCAAGGUAUGUGAACACAGGGAGCAGGACGCGGUGCGGGCAGAUGCCAGCUGGGCUGACACAGGAGAAAGCCCGCAGGGUGUGCAGAAGUGAUCAAGGCUCAGCAUGCUGGGGUAGAGGAAAGAAAGCACGGCUGAAUGGCACCGUUUAUGUCCCGAAGGAGAGCCCAAGUGCCAGCCAGCGCCAGGAGAUAAGGAGAGCCCCACAGAAGGGCACAAAGGUAGCACUGAUGAGCGGUGCUUGGCUCGGCUCCCACAGAGGUCGCAGCUGGAUCCCCUAUUAGCUUUCCUCAACACAGCGUUAUUGAGAUUAUGCUGAGCUACUUGGUGGUAAUGCCCCCCUCCCACAGACCUUUCACGAGAAAACAGAAGUAUUUGAUAUUCCAGGCAUAAGCAAAGACAAUCGAAGGCACUGCUGUCUACUAUAAGCUGGAGAAUUUGGCUACAAGUAUACAGAGUCCAGCAAAGCACGUGGCAGGGUUACUCUGUGAGUAAACUGAUGCACGAGCCUGCAGGAUCUGCCUAAGCAGAAGCAGGACUGAAACCUGGGUCUGUGGUGGUGUGUCCUGGGCUCUGCUGUGAGAGCCUCCACUGGAAAUAGUGGAUAGCUCCACUGGUAUAAAUGUGUCCACUCUGAAACUUAAAACAUUGCCUAUAUUACGACAAGGGGAAAUUCUUAGUUAUUACCAUUUCUCAUCAUCCUCGUGGAGCUGAAGUCCCACACAGCAGCCUGGUUCAUCACACAAGGAAGCCUCUAGCGUGGCAUUGUUGUCCUUCUUGUUCAGCUCUGUUUAUUUUCCAGUUCCCAUCCAAUCGGCUCCAAUGAAUCAAGGUGGGAGGAGGUAAAGCAAUUGGAAUGGUCAAUUUUUAAGGCUGCGCUGAGCAUAAGGGGAAUAAGUGGAGACGUGCCCCAGACAGGACGAGCAGAGCUGGGACCUGAGCAGCAUCACAGCAAGCAGCCAUGUGAGCCAGUAUCCUGUCUGCUGGUGUAGCCAGGAGGAGAUGCGGAAGGAGGAAACUCAAGGAGGAGGUACGGCGUGAUCCUUCCCCAGCUGUACCCUUCUUGCUUCAGGCAAUCCGUGGUUUAUGGACUUCCCAAAGCAGAGGCUGCCUCCAGACCAGUGUGUUUUAAUAGCCACCCAUGGACCUAUCCUCCUCAAAUUUUUUUGAUCCCUUUCUCAAGCCAUUUAUAACUUUUGGCCUCCGCAACAUCCUGUGGCAACGAGUUCCACAAUUUAAUUAUGCUUUGCAUGAAAAAGUACUUCCUCGUGUUGGUUUAAACCUUCUUGCGUGAAUGCUGUGUCAGGUCCCCUUACGAGAAGCAGUGGACAACCAUUUCCUAUUUGCCUUUCUCUAUAUGUCAUUCACGAUCUGACAGAUCUUCACUGUACUGCCUGCUUCUAUCACUCCUUUCCACCCUGAAGACUCCUCAUCUAGUUAGUUUCUUGUCUUUAUGGAAGCUGUUUCCUACCUCUCCUCAUCCAGAAUGCUUUCAUUUCUGUGUUUUCUAGUUCAGUUCAACCCUUCUGGACUUAGAUGACCAGAAAACACACUACCAUUGCCGUACAGUUUCACUGAGGACUGCUAUGAUGACGUUUUCUGUUUUGUUCCUUCCUGGUUCUUUGCCAGUUAAUUCUUAACAUGAUGGUUGCCUCUCCUGAUGGACUUUACCUGAUGUUUACACAGGACUCCAAGCUCUCUUUGCUAAAUGUUGAACUGAGGUCUCAUCCACGUUGAAGUGCAGUUGGGUUUUAUGCUUCUUUGUACUUCUUGGUUUGAGACGGAACCAGAAGUCCAAACAACAAAGUGUUUGCAAAAGUCCUGAUGGUCGGGAGAUCACUGAACUCCUUCAGACCAAGAGAGAUGAAAAGCUUACAAGAAAAGUUGCUCUCCAGAGGCUUUCAGCCCAGUGACGAGGAACCGAGGCAGGCUGAAUACACUCAGGGCGAUGAAUGGAGGGAGGAAACAUUCAGGUACCUUUCAAAUACGCAACCAAACAAUCUGAGGUUUCCCUGUCACAUGCCUAGACGCAUGUUUCGAAAGGGUAUAAAAUAAAAGAAAGAAAAAUGCGCUGUCUGGGAAUUCUUACCCUGUGACUGUUGCGCAGCCAAAAAGCUGGGUAAUUCUCUUCAACUGAAUAAACAUCGGGGGGAGUCUGAGAGCAAUUUGGCUCCAGAGCAAAUAUUGUUACCAAAUUCUUUGCACCUGCAGUGGUCAGGGAGAUGAUAAUACACCCUCUCCAUGUCUUCCUAUCCCACGCUUUGGAGCACAGCCACGCAGUGUCUCACGUCUGCUGCAGCGUACAUGUUUGUGAGGGAAGGACUUCAGGCAAGCCCCUGCUGGUGGGGCUGCAGUACGAUCCACAGCCCAGCCCCUAACACCCACUCUCGUCUCGGUCCCCAGCAAACCCAACACCCCGACACGACUCGAGAGCAGCAAGGCAGCUGCACUGCCCCUGCUGCGGCCGAUUCUCAGCCGGUGCUGUGCCGGCUUUGCACCACGCUGCCCAGCUGGGGUUUGCCACGGCGUUACUUGCUAAGCAGGGUUAAAGAUAAUAAUGAAGAGGUUAAGGGCUUUGGCUGCCAUAGCUUCUGCUACCAUUCUACCAGCCUAGGCACAGAUACCAAGGAAAAACACACACUUACCUGGUGCAGUAUGGCUUGCCGGAGGCUAGGUUGUGUUACAGCGGUGUGUGUCCUUGGUGCCCUGCCUGACACAGCAAGAUGCAUGCCACUAGUGAGGGAGCACCCCCAGCGCCGCUGUGACCUCAGCCUGCACCUAGCAGAGGCACACUGGGGAUGGGGUGGGCAGCGCUGGCACCGCCAAGUCCAUAGCAGCAGGAGAAGCCAGGAAAUAGGGAAAAAGGCUCCAUUCUGCUGGGCCAGCAAGGCUGGGGACACAAGAAGGUGAACUGACACCCCUUCCACUGCACAGGGAGACCAGGAAGGCAUCUGGACCUCUACAAGGGGUGCCAUUUGAUUUUCUGGACUGUUUCUUAGGAAACAGAGGUGCCACAGGACCUCAGUGCCUUGUCUAUAAAAUGGAGAGCAUUCCUGUGCCCAUCUUGUCACACUGGUGUGUGGCUUAGUGUAUCCAUCCACCGAGGAGCAGCUGAGGGAUUGAGCCACCAAAUGCCACCAAGGCAGAGAAACACUCACACCAUCAUCGUGUGGGCUUUGCACAGCUGGGCUGAAGGUGAAAUGAAGGAAUUUGGUGUCAGACUCUCUACUCCAGUCACCAAUAGCGUCCUUCAGCAGGGAUUUGAGGACAAAGCAAAUGGAAAGGAUAAAGAAGAAAUGAGAUGGAGUUUCUCCUGUUCCUACCUUAGACACACUGCGGGAUAAUGGCUUACAGAGCAAGGGAUCAGCUUUGUGUGAGUGCGUGAGCUGGAGUCCAUCAGCACCGUGGCUGCUCAGGUGCUCAGCUUUCCUGAUGUAGAUCUGCCUGACAAAUGACAACAACAACAAAGGCCCCAAAACAAGCUGAUGAUCUGGAGAAUUUCCUCCUCGCAUCCAGGGAAGUUCAGAGAAGAAAAUCUCUCGGCUAGGAUGUGCACCUGAUAAUACCUUCUCACAAGCGUUCCCACCCACAAAACAAAUAGCAAAACCCGUUGGCUUUGGGGUGUAAACCAAAUUAGAAACAGGGCUGGGAAACCUACCAAAUACCCACAAGGAGUUUGGCUAAAGGACUCCGAUGCUCCUGAAUAUUUGACUUGUUGUUCUCCCACUAAAAUCACGGCGAGUCCAAAGCCUAAGGAGUCACUUGCUUUUAAAAUGCUAUGUCAGGCCUUCAAGCCUGUUUGGAAGUUUGCGAAAAUUUUGUCCCGAUGCUAUUAAAAAAAAAAAAUAAAUCCUCAAACACAACCACUUUGAAUGCCAGAGGUCCCUAAUGUCCCAGCUCUCCUAUUCAUCCCAGCUGCCCCAUUACCACAGCCCUUUACGAGCGAGUCCGUGUAAGACCAGUCACGGCCAGCAGCUGGGAGAACAAUCACUAAGGAAAAAAAAAUAUCCUGGACCGAAGAGGUUAGAAAAUAUUUUUGGUGGCUGAUCAUGAUCCUGGAGGUCACUGCUGCUUUGGUUAGGGCCUAGCAUUGCCGAGCAGGCUGUGUGCAGAAGUCUCUUGGAGCUCCCUUGAGUUCAUGGAAGAUCCCAGAGGAGGUUUUAUAUGAUUAUGAGUGUUUCCAAUAUUCACUCUGGACUAUUAGAUUUUUAUUUCGUUUCUAUUGUUAAUUACAUUUUUGACUACCCUUUAGCUGUACUGGGAGACAUUUUUUUUGCAAGAUCAUUAAAUAAACCAGUAAAAAUAAAGUGCUUUGCUGCUAAGUGAAAUGACUCUGUUAAGCUUUCAUCUCUUUUCUCCUCUCUAAAGACUUUGGGCUUUUUUCAAUAAUUUACUUCCUUUUUUUCCAGCAAGAAAAAAGAGAAGAAUGGAGGGGGAAAGAAGCAGAUGAGAGUCACUGUCUAACCUUUUUUUUUUUUUUGACAGAAAGCAGGUACCUCUGUACAGAUAGGUCAUUAGCAUCUCAGAAAAUUGUCCAGCUGGUUUGUUGUUUGUUGUGAGGAGCUGCGGCCAGUGCUGCUUUACAGGUGGCAGCUGCUGGAAAAGCAUCUCUCCCCGGGCCCAGUCGUUCCCUGGUGUCAUAGGGGGGGAUCUUGGAAGCCAGGCUCUGUGCCCACCUCUGGUUUUGUCCCA